GGUUGGGAGUAUCAUAUUAAGGCAGCUAUGUCCGUUGAGCAGAAAAAAUGUAUGAUCUUGCCACAUGGAAUCAUAGAAUUAUUUCUACCUUUUAAGUAUUUGUAUAAUAUGUGGUAAAUGGAUUAAAACAUGUCCUUUUCCAUAUCGGCCGUCGCUUCAUCCCUUCAGCUGUAUGAACCUUCGGCUAGCUCCUUUUGCAAGAACGGAAGUCUUUGGAUGAUACCAGGCCUGAUAUAAAAAAGGUCUAUAAUCUAUGUUAUCGGUCAACCAACUGUCUA
rnacentral:lncRNA from 1 species